rnacentral:tRNA from 1 species
GCCAGUUUGGCUCAGUGGAUAGAGCAUCGGCCUUCAUACUGAAGGGUGCUGGGUUCGAUUCCAGUCAAGGGCA